rnacentral:lncRNA from 1 species
CUUCUCUUUCCUAUCUAUAUAAAUGCUGUCUGAACAUGUUGCAGAACAGAGUUCUCUUGGUUUCUUCUUCUUGGUUUUGAGGGCUGAUUGAUUUUCAAAUUGCUUCUUUCUCAAAAUCAAUUAAAUUUAAUUUUCUUUUUCUUUUGUGGUACUGGCAAUUGAACACAGAAGUACUUUACUAGUAAGUUACAUCCUGAGAAACAGGGUCUCACCAAGUUCAGGCUGGCCUGGAACUUGCAGUCUUCCUGCCUCAUCCUCUUCCCCCAGGGUAGACAGAAUUACAGUCUCUACAGUUCCAAAACAUGAUUCUAUGCUGAUAUGAAACAUUACACUGUCCUAUUUUGUCUGCAGCUUAUUUCCCAUGUUAAUAACUAGAAUUGAGCUGAAAAGAUGAAACCUGUUUGGAACACAAUCAUCUUUUCUUUUGUACUGUAAGGGACGGCCCAAGAUUUUCUCAACUAAACCUUAUAUUUGCAUUUAAGUUGUCUAAAUUUUAAUAUGCAUAUGUUUCAGGGACAUUAUAAUGCCCCAAACUUUCUUUUACCAAGCAUUUCUGCAAGAUCAAUUAUAUAAAUGAAUGAAUGAAUGAAUAAAUAAAUAAAUGAAAAUACUGUUUUCUAUAAAAACAUGCAUGCAUUAUUAUCACUAUGAUUAUCUGCAUUGAUGUCCCAGUACAUCCAUUUGUUUCAGAUGAUUCAUUUUUAUACAGUUCAAUGCAUUCGCCACCAUGGAGAUCAUUGUCAAACAGGUGCUACGGCGCAUUCUCUUAUGGCUAAAGAAAACAUUUUUUUUUGUAUUUAUAUGGUAUCCAGGUUACAUCUUUGAUAAUCAUUUUAAAACUGAGAGUAAAAAAUGGCAGAUGGAAUAUCAUUGUUUUUCUUUUUCUUCCCCAUCUCCCUUUAUUUCUUUACAUUGUCAGGAUGGCUCCAUCCAUUCAGAUGGCAUGGCUGUUGUGAAUGAAGGCAGACCUGCACUUUCAGCGAUCCUCUCUCCAGUUCAAUUAUGGUGCUUUAGCAGGGCUAAUUAGCAUUCCUCAGUGCUGGAGCUCUUUGAGUGACAGGUAACCAUGGAGAGUCACACUCCUGUAGGUAAUCAGUAAGAAUCUAGCUUUUCUUUCUAAUUACAAAUUAGAAAAGCCUUAAAGAAAAAGCAUUUACUGAUUUAUGCCAUUAGCCCAAGAUUGCCAUGUUAGAAAGGAUAACAGGAGUGUCAGAAGAAAGCUGAUGUUUUUUCAAAAGGAAAAGAGGGAAAUACCAUGAUGGUCAGAUACAGGAAAAAAAUGUUUAUUGUCUGAUAACAGAUACCCAAAAGGAAAGCAUAAAAAAGCAAAAUGUCAUCUGCUCCUGAGGAUUCAUUUAGAUUCUCCCCUUCGAAAUUUAAGAAAUAAUGUAGUAUUUACUAACGGUGUUUUCUUUUUCUGUCAUUUAGAAUGCACUAGAAUCAGAAUGUUGAAAUAGUAAAUGCAGUGAUCAAUGAGUAAUGCAUAUUUGAUAACUGUUGAUUGUGACUGAUGAGAAAUAUAACAAAAUUAAAAAUUGAGAAUAUUGGAAAAUCCACAUGAUGCAAAAAUAUUGAAUCUGAUCUUGGAAUUGAUGUCAGUUGGCAGAGUGCAUCUUUCCAACAAAGUGAAUAUUAUAAGUAGGCCAGAGAUGUGCAUUAAAUAUUGUCACCUUAGCCUGGUAGCAUAGUUUCAGGAAAAAAAUGAACAGCAAUUUUAUAACAUCUUAAGAUCAUAUCAGGAUAAUGUUUCCAUUCGAAAACAGGUAAGUCCAUAACAAGAAUGAUCAAAGUCAAUUUAUAUUUUCCCAAAACUGAAAGGAAACUUCUCAUUUUUUUUUUUUUUGGUUCUCUUCACCUUAUUAAAAAUUUAAUUUUAACAUGCCUCUCCCUUUCCUGUUUUUACCCAAAAGUAGAAUUAUUAUAAAAACAUUCCCUGGUGUUAUUUCUGGCCAGCAUAAAGCCAGGAAGCUCUUACAGUCUUGUGGGAAUGCCUAAUCCCAUGAAUUUACCAGUCUUAUUUCAACCAUGAGGGUGGGGAAGGAUACAAACCAAGUCACACAGAGUUCUUCAAUUGUUACUUCAGAAUAAUUUCUAUUAUGGGAAGAAUUCAUGAUAACAGAGAAUGAUAAAAAUCAGUUGCAUUAUUUAUGAUCUUACUUUAACUUGGUUCAUGUUCCAAAAAUUAAGAUUUGUCUUCUCAGAUAGAGGUUGAAUGAAAGAACAAAGUUUAAUCACAAGCAAAUGUCCCCAACAAUAUGCAACCAUGGUCAUUAUAAAUUGGGUCACUCAUUUAAUGUGCUAUUUAUUUUAAUGUUCUUUCUUAAUAAGCAUAAUUCUUCAAUUUUCAAGAUUUGCACAAGAAAUUUUCAUAAAAUAUAUUAUCUCAUAUUUCAGAAAUCAAGUAAAUUUAGCUUGCUAAUGGCUUUUAACUUUAAUGCAAAGAUAAAAAGAACAAUUCUGUACCAAAAUCUGAAACUAUUUUUAGUUCUUCAAAAAAAUUUUGCAUCCAGUAGAAUUCUGCAAACAGGGUAAGGACCAUCUCAUUUUAUAGUAUGAACAGUUCUAUUCUAAAGCAUUUCAUUUGGAAGUUCACUAUGUUUCAACCAUAGUGAAGGGAGGUACCAGUUGGUUCCAUCUCACCUUCUUUGAUAUUUACAACUUUUCUUCCCAAUGGUGAAACCAAAUCAGUACAAAUGCUUAAUUGAACAGAAAAUACUGCAUAUUUUAAAACAAACCCAUUAAGAAUCGAUGUUCCAUAAUACUGAAUGGAUUUUGAACAUUGACUUCCUUGGCAAUUUCCAAUUUUUUUUUUAACAAACAGAUUGACUUAUUGAACAUUAAGAACUGUUUUUAUCCAUUUCCAAUCCUGAAUAUUUACAGACAAAUCCUUUUUAACUCUUCUGCCUACAUUUUUUCUGUAGACACUGAAUGAGAAAUUUUGCAAGCAUGAGCUAUUUUAUAAUAGACUAUACUUAAUUAGUGAAUAUGAGGCAGCAGUGGUCUGGUGUUCUGAACAGUUUGUAUAGCUGAUCUCUAAUUGUUUUAUGUCUUCUUCAUAACUUUCACACUAUUAGAGAGAGAAGAAAUCAGCUCAUGACUAUGACUAUCAUCCCUUUUCAGAAAUGUUGAGAUCUCAGAGGGUGGCUGAUAUACCAACAUAGCACAUUUUGUUUUGUUUCCCGGCUACAUGUAGUCUUUCUGAUUUUACACAGUAAUUCCCUAGAAUCACAAAAGUUCAGAAACAUAAAGCUUCCUGUUGAUGUAGUUUAAUCUUCUCAUUUUACAGAUGAAGAUACUGGAGAGAGAGGUUCCUGGCAUCCAGCUAACUAGUGUCAGUGCUAGAACUGGACCUGAAACUCAAAGUUCAGAAUUCCUUUAUCAACAAACUUCCUCUCCUGGGGUAAUUUCAUGCCAUGGGGCCUUCUCAUUAGAUUCCAUGUAGAUUUGUCAGGAGCUGACUCAGAAUUGACUCACAGAGUCAACAAUUAACACAAAAGUCCUGUCUUGCAACAACCUGCCAUAAAACACCCUUGUGUGAGUUCCAAGACCUUGCUUACUGCCAUGUCACUGCCUUGUGAAGAGGGUGAUUGGCCAACCUGAGCUGAGGUGGUAGAUUCUUUACCUUUGUGACUGUGACAGUCUGAUAUUGCCUUUGUAAGUACUCUACAUUUGCCUUUAUUUCAUCCUAAAACAUUAAUCUUUUGAAAGGGCUAAAAGAUAUUAGUCUUUCUGAUCUCAGAUGCUACCAUUUUAUAUAUGUUAGCAAAACUAAAGAGAAAAACAAACAAAAUAGUCAAAUCAAAAAAUUUUAAAAUAUCAGGCAUCUGCUAAAAAAAGUAGACUUUAUUACAAAACCAGUAAAAAAAAA